CAAUAGCGUAUAUUUAAGUUGUUGCAGUUAAAAAGCUCGUAGUUGGAUUUCUGGUCGGAAGCUCCUGUCCUCUGAUGAGCGUACGAGUGCGUCCUACCAUCCUUCUGUUAACCUUUAAGGCUUUCGCGGCUUUCUAGGGGCUCAGAUAUUUUACCUUGAGAAAAUUAGAGUGUUUCAGGCAGGCUAGCGCCGGAAUACAUUAGCAUGGAAUAAUGGAAUAGGACUUUUGCCUCUUCUGUUGGUCAUGAGGCUCGAGUAAUGAUUAAUAGGGAUAGUUGGGGGCAUUAGUACUUAACUGUCAGAGGUGAAAUUCUCGGAUUUGUUAAAGACUAACUUAUGCGAAAGCAUUUGCCAAGGAUGUUUUCAUUAA
rnacentral:rRNA from 1 species